rnacentral:rRNA from 1 species
UACGUAGGUGGCAAGCGUUGUCCGGAUUUAUUGGGUUUAAAGGGUGCGUAGGCGGUUCUAUAAGUCAGUGGUGAAAUCCGGCAGCUCAACUGUCGAUGUGCCAUUGAUACUGCAGAACUUGAGUACAGACGAGGUAGGCGGAAUUGACGGUGUAGCGGUGAAAUGCUUAGAUAUCGUCAAGAACACCGAUAGCGAAGGCAGCUUACUAGACUGUAACUGACGCUGAUGCACGAAAGUGUGGGGAUCAAACAGGAGUUA